UUUUUUUUUUUUCUUUUUUAGGGCCUCGCCUGCAGCAUAUGGAGAUUUCUAGGCUAGGGGUCCAGUUGGAACUACAGCUGCCGGCCUACGCCACAGCCACAGCAACUCGGGAUCUGAGCCAUGUCUGCAACCCACACCACAGCUCACGGCAACACCAGAUCCUCAAUCCACCGAGCAAGGCCAGGGGUCGAACCCACAACCUCAUGGUUCCUAGUUGGAUUCAUUUCCGCCGUGCCACGAUGGGAACUCCCAUUCACUCAUCUUUAUCACUACUGUUGCCACCUUUGUCCACAUCACCACAAUUUUUUUUCCUACAAUGACCUCCUACAGGCCUCCCUGAUUCCAUGUUUUUCUACACAACCAUUCUUCAUGAACCUGUCAGAAUUAUCCCUUUAAAACAGACAUAUCCUGCCUGUUCUCAAAACCCUCCAACAGUUUCCCAGUGCACUUAGAAUAAAAUCAAGACUCCUUAUUAUGAUGAUCAGGCUCACCAUAGAAAACCUCUAAGGAGAUGUAAUUGGAAAACUCCAAAGCUCAGCAGCACAGAUAUGGAUAAUAACAGGUUGUUCUGAGGCUGGUCCAGCAAAACUUCUCCAUCCCUUAAUCCAGCCAUGACAUCUGGGUGACACGGCUUCCUUAAUGCAGAAAGAUGGUCUCAUGUUAUAGCUGAUCUUCCCUGUCAGAUGGAGGCUGGGUCACAAGCAAGUACGCUGACGAAGGGAGUGCUAGGUAGAAGUGUAUUCUUCUUUUGAAUGCACUUGAGCUCACAAAGUAUCAUUUCCACUGUACUCUGUGGAUCAGAGAAGCCACAGAUUUCUUCCCAGAUUCAAGGGGAAGUAAAAAGAGCCUACCUCUCAGUGAAGGAAGUGUCCGUCACAUUAUAAGAAAAAUAUACGGGAAUGGUGUGGACGUCUUUGGGAAAGAUAAUCUGCUACUUGAGUGGUCAUGGUUGUGAUUUUAUAUUGCAUUGCCAAGUUUUCUUUUAGUAAAAUUGCUCCUGGAAUGAACAGUUCUAUAGUCUAUAGUAUACAAAGACUCAGGGGUGCUGUGCCUCCUGAGCAAGUGUGAGAAGCACUGAUCUUGUCCAACUCUUUCAUUUUGUAGCUGAGGGACCAAAGGACUAAAGAGAUGUCUAUAAUUGGUCUAAAGAGAAACUAUUCCUGAUCUCUUUCUCACUUUGCCUGAUUCUGGAGGACAUUCUAGAGCAGGUGGAAUUAGAGACUAAUUCCAAAGGAUGGAAGAGUUGUAGGUGGAAUGAUUGGGCAAGUAGUUGGGUGCUGAUGACAGAUGUGAUGGACUUUAAGAAAGUUUGGGGCUCUUGGGUUUCCCUUAGAUGUGAAUCCUAAAGAAGUCUGUCUGGCAGCAGGAAAGGGAGGGAGGGCAGGACAUGCAGAACAGGACAGCAGCUAGAAGGGGAUGAGUCCAGGCAAGUUUCUCAAAGUGAUCCUAGUGAAUCAACUGCAUCAGAAUCAGAAUCUCCUGGAGCCUUUGUCGCAAUGCACUCCCUGGGUCCCACACCUCCUGUAUCAGAAUCUCCCAUGUCGGGGCCCAAGAAUCCAGUUUAGCAGGUUCAGUGGGUACAUACACACUCCAAUAUAUGCGAAUUAUACUGAGACAGAUGGUAAGUAAAACUAACUGGUCUAUAAAAUUGAAACUGGCUCAGAAAUAUGAAACCAGCAAAUGGGUUAUGAAUAUCUGUGAGUUACCUUGACAAAGCUCAUCAAAUAAAGUGGAAAGAUAUUCUAGUGAUGAAGGCAAAAUAAAGAUUCAAGUUUCCUUAAUAUAGAACAUAAGUGACUAGUAAAACCUCUAAGAAUUCAUUUUUUUAACCUCCAAACAUUAUUCAACAGUAUUUUAAGGCUUUUGUCCUGUUCAGCAAGCGAAUCUUACCAAAGGAAAGGUGACAGUUUGACAUCAAAACACCCCUCCACCUAGUGCUCCAUAGAACUCAACGGGAGAGAGAAUACAUCUUUUUCUGACAUUUAACUGAUUUGCACAUGCAAGUUGGGAAGCAUACAUUUCCACGGAGGCUGAAGGAUGAAAAGCCAGAACACUACACAUUGGGGGCACUUGAUACAAUCUCAUUCGUCUUUGUCUCACAACCCAUCCAUGGUUUCCAUUAAUAUCUUCCCCGCUUCAUCUCUGAAAUCCUUCAUCAUCAAUGGCUUAUUGUAAAGUACUUUCUUCCUUAGCUUCAGGCCAUUUUUACCAGCUGGCUCCAUAUUCCCCUUCCCCCAGACAAGAUUCCCCCCGCUUUUUUUUCUUGGCCACUAAAGAAUUAGCUUCCUGAUGAUGUGCAGCCAAUUUCAAGGAUGUUCAGACUCUCUGGCCAAAGGAAUUGACUCCUUGUGUCAUAUAUGGCUGACAGACACUCUGACCCACCUAGAGUGGACACCCCAGAAUGUCAGAGAGACUCCCAGAGAGCUUCUCCCCAUGCAACUAACAAUCUCCAUGGCAACAGACAUCCAUCUGCUUAACUUUACCAGAUAAGACAGUUUUCUCUUUUGGGACAGUACGGAUGCUGGAGCCUUAUAUUAGAUCACACUUUGUAUUCUUAACUCAAGUAUCUUUUAGGAAAAAAAAACCUCUUUAACUUUGUUUCUGAAGUCAAAAAUUGUUGCUCUUUCUUUAGACAUCUAUGCCUGUCUUUCUACCCCGCCCCUGUCCUCUGCCCCUCUCAUUGGUGGGCUGUACAUUGGUGGGUUAUUAAACAACUUCAACACAGCUGCACUUUGUUUGCUCCAUGUCUAUGUUUUCGGCUUUCUGAGAGGAGGUAUUGUGCUAGGCGGGACUAUUUGAUUGGAGAAUUUUUAGACUGUGGCAAGUAGAAGAGCUAUAGAGGAUAUCUUAUGGAGUUAAACUUCAAGGGGAAAAGAAGCCAUCAUGAAUGCACAAAAAAAAAAAAGAGAAAAAAAUGAAAAAGUUGGCAUGGAUCAGAAACUUGGGUCAUGCUAAAACAAGAGUCAACUCAGAUCUUAUGCUUCACCAUACUGGAAUUUUAACUUUGAAAUGGAAUCCAACUUUUGAACAUUUCAGUCUAUGAAGAGGUAGAAUUGAGAGCGUGAAAAAUUUGCUUAGAAAUAUUCAUGAGCAUAAGUCAAAGUUUUGAUAUCAGUGUUUCUUAAAACCCAGUGUCUUCAUUUUUUCAUAAUUCUUUCUGAUUUUUUUCAUCAUGUGGGUUUAGCCAGCAGAAUGGCAUUUCUUUUUCCAAAGUUCUUUAUACAACUUAUAGAGCUUGGAAACCUAUGUCUGUUAAGGUUUAUGUCAAGGUGGUCCCCAAAUUCUGAUGUUUCAGUGAAGUACAUCUUAGUGGAAGAGAGAGUUGUUGUGGACUCAAAGCCUUGCUGAGUAGCAAGGCAAUGUAAUCUACUGAAGCACUUAGCUGGAACUAAGAGACCAGGGUUUUGAGCUUGACUCUUCCCCUGCCUGCAUGACCUUUAGUAAAACUUUUGACUUAUGUAGGUAUCAACUUUCUCAUCUAUGAAUACGUUGAAUGAAUGCACAUUUCCUUUUACCUCCAAAUUUAGAAAGUUACUAUCAGGAAACUGAGCGCGGUUUUCCUGCCUCAUGGUGCUCCAUGAAAUCACUGUCAGUGUGAUUAGAAUGAAUCAAAAAUAUUUUGUUCAUUUAAUUUUUUCAUUUAUAAGACAUCUUUCCUAUAAACUAUAUCCCUAUGCACUUUACAGAGCAUCUGUAAUUAUGUGAUUCUAGAAACUGAGGAGAAAGGAAGUUGGGGAAAACGUAGGAAGAAAUGAUGUGAAAUGUAGAUUUUCCCCACAUUUUCAUACGUAUAAUAAUAUAAAGAAAUCCUGUUCCUACUAGAGAAUAAUGUGAGCUAAAAAUUCCACCUUCCCGGGGCUUCAGGCAUGAUGUGGCUUCUUCCUUUUGCUAUGAGAUAUAUUAUGCGUUCAAACAACUAAGAUGACAUCUUGUUAAUUUGAAAGUUCACCUGUCAAAAUAGAUAUACUGGAUGUUGCAAAGGCUGUCAGCUUAGAAAGCUGGGUAGCAUUUAGGUCUCUGGAUCUCAAAUGAGAGCACAUCAAAGUAACACUGGUGGGUCAGGGAAACAAAUGUCCAUAGUAACCUGCCUCAAACCAGCGGUUUACUGGAUAUCAAAACUGUACUUUUUAGUUCAGCUAAUAAUGACUAAGGGGUUGGAUAUACCAAGCACGAAUGUUAAAAUGACAUGACAAACUUUUGGAAGCAAGAAGCUCACAUGUCCUGAUGGUGCAGAUGCCAGAAAUACCUUCACUGGAAAAAGGUGAAUGCAUCCCAUGCUGUAGCUAAUGCUAAUGCGCAGUCAUUCUUAGCAUUCUCAAUAAUUAGUAUACAUUAUUUUAAUUAUUAAUUUAAUAGUCAUUUAAAAAUUAUAAUUACCAUAUAAUCAUGUGUAUGAAUAAUUAUUGUCAUUAUUAUAAAUCAAUGUAAAUAAUUAAUAAUGAAUUAAUAGUGUGUAGUGUGUAUUAUGUUGCCACCUCUUUUUUCAACACACAUCAGUUUUGUUGAAAAGAAAUAGCUAUUGCUUUCUCUGAUUAUAAAAGCAAUAUAUACACAAAGUUAAAAUUUUUUUUAAAGAACAUUGGAAGAAAUAACAUCAUUUAGCCCACAAAGCCUUCUCAUUCCUCUAAAUUCCUGAAGUGUUAACCAUAUGUACUGCUCAUUUGGGUAGCUUGAAAUAUAGUGUCUUGGCUCUUGAGACUUUUCCCGAAAGGGUCCCCUCCUCUCCGUCUUUGCUCUCCUGCAAUUUCCAAAGCCCCUCAUCCCAUUCUAGUCUGAGACCCACCUUUACCUCCUCUGCACAACGUUAGUUCAAGGUCAUGCUCCAUCUUUUCCUACCCCAGUAGCUUCUUGAGAGACCCCAUUCCCUCCUGCCUUGACCCUAAAGAAGUGGCCUUGGAAACUUGGCCCAUGGCUUGUCAGAGCUUAUCAAUCUCCCC
rnacentral:lncRNA from 1 species